CUAAGGAUAUAGCUUAGUGGUAGAGCACUUGCCUGGGAUAAGCAAGGUCCUGGGUUCGAUCUCCAUACUGAGA
rnacentral:tRNA from 1 species